AGAGUUUGAUCAUGGCUCAGGAUGAACGCUGGCGGUAUGCCUAACACAUGCAAGUCGUACGAGAGUUUUUAACUCUAGUGGCGGACGGGUGAGUAACACGUAAGAAUUUACCUUCAGGAGGGGGAUAACAAUUGGAAACAAAUGCUAAUACCCCAUAUGCUUUCGAGUGAAAUGGAUUUAUAUUUAUCCGCCUAAAGAGAAGCUUGCGUCUGAUUAGCUUGUUGGUAAGGUAAAAGCUUACCAAGGCGACGAUCAGUAUCUGGUUUGAGAGGACGAUCAGACACACUGGAACUGAGACACGGUCCAGACUCCUACGGGAGGCAGCAGUGGGGAAUUUUCCGCAAUGGGCGAAAGCCUGACGGAGCAAUACCGCGUGAGGGAAGACUGCCUAUGGGUUGGAAAC
rnacentral:rRNA from 1 species